rnacentral:rRNA from 1 species
GACGAACGCUGGCGGCGUGCUUAACACAUGCAAGUCGAACGGAAAGGCCCUGCUUUUGUGGGGUGCUCGAGUGGCGAACGGGUGAGUAACACGUGAGUAACCUGCCCUUGACUUUGGGAUAACUUCAGGAAACUGGGGCUAAUACCGGAUAGGAGCUCCUGCUGCAUGGUGGGGGUUGGAAAGUUUCGGCGGUUGGGGAUGGGCUCGCGGCUUAUCAGCUUGUUGGUGGGGUAGUGGCUUACCAAGGCUUUGACGGGUAGCCGACCUGAGAGGGUGACCGGCCACAUUGGGACUGAGAUACGGCCCAGACUCCUACGGGAGGCAGCAGUGGGGAAUAUUGCACAAUGGGCGGAAGCCUGAUGCAGCAACGCCGCGUGCGGGAUGACGGCCUUCGGGUUGUAAACCGCUUUCGCCUGUGACGAAGCGUGAGUGACGGUAAUGGGUAAAGAAGCACCGGCUAACUACGUG